rnacentral:rRNA from 1 species
GGGAUUGCCCUAGUAACGGCGAGUGAAGCGGCAACAGCUCAAAUUUGAAAGCUAGCCUUCGGGUUCGCAUUGUAAUUUGUAGAGGAUGAUUUGGGGAAGCCGCCUGUCUAAGUUCCUUGGAACAGGACGUCAUAGAGGGUGAGAAUCCCGUAUGUGACAGGAAAUGGCACCCUAUGUAAAUCUCCUUCGACGAGUCGAGUUGUUUGGGAAUGCAGCUCUAAAUGGGAGGUAAAUUUCUUCUAAAGCUAAAUAUUGGCGAGAGACCGAUAGCGCACAAGUAGAGUGAUCGAAAGAUGAAAAGCACUUUGGAAAGAGAGUUAAAAAGCACGUGAAAUUGUUGAAAGGGAAGCGCUUGCAAUCAGACUUGUUUAAACUGUUCGGCCGGUCUUCUGACCGGUUUACUCAGUUUGGACAGGCCAGCAUCAGUUUCGGCGGCCGGAUAAAGGCUCUGGGAAUGUGGCCUCCACUUCGGUGGAGGUGUUAUAGCCCAGGGUGUAAUACGGCCAGCCGGGACUGAGGUCCGCGCUUCGGCUAGGAUGCUGGCGUAA